GAUGAAGAACGUAGCGAAAUGCGAUAAGUAAUGUGAAUUGCAGAAUUCAGUGAAUCAUCGAAUCUUUGAACGCACAUUGCGCCCCUUGGUAUUCCGAGGGGCAUGCCUGUUCGAGCGUCAUUAUAACCCCUCAAGCUCAGCUUGGUGUUGGGGCCUGCUGCACUGGCAGCCCUUAAAAUCAGUGGCGGCGCCAUCUGGCUCUAAGCGUAGUAAUUCUUCUCGCUAUGGAGUCCUGGUGGAUGCUUGCCAUCAACCCCCAAUUUUUCUAUGGUUGACCUCGGAUCAGGUAGGGAUACCCGCUGAACUUAAGCAUAUCAUAAGCGGGGGA
rnacentral:misc_RNA from 1 species